rnacentral:rRNA from 1 species
GAUGAACGCUGGCGGCGUGCCUAAUACAUGCAAGUCGAGCGAACAGAUGAGGAGCUUGCUCCUCUGACGUUAGCGGCGGACGGGUGAGUAACACGUGGAUAACCUACCUAUAAGACUGGGAUAACUUCGGGAAACCGGAGCUAAUACCGGAUAAUAUAUUGAACCGCAUGGUUAAUAGUGAAAGACGGUUUUGCUGUCACUUAUAGAUGGAUCCGCGCCGCAUUAGCUAGUUGGUAAGGUAACGGCUUACCAAGGCAACGAUGCGUAGCCGACCUGAGAGGGUGAUCGGCCACACUGGAACUGAGACACGGUACAGACUCCUACGGGAGGCAGCAGUAGGGAAUCUUCCGCAAUGGGCGAAAGCCUGACGGAGCAACGCCGCGUGAGUGAUGAAGGUCUUCGGAUCGUAAAACUCUGUUAUUAGGGAAGAACAAAUGUGUAAGUAACUAUGCACGUCUUGACGGUACCUAAUCAGAAAGCCACGGCUAACUACGUG